rnacentral:rRNA from 1 species
CCUACGGGCGGCAGCAGUGGGGAAUAUUGCACAAUGGGGGGAACCCUGAUGCAGCGACGCCGCGUGAGUGAAGAAGUAUUUCGGUAUGUAAAGCUCUAUCAGCAGGGAAGAAAAUGACGGUACCUGACUAAGAAGCCCCGGCUAACUACGUGCCAGCACCCGCGGUAAUACGUAGGGGGCAAGCGUUAUCCGGAUUUACUGGGUGUAAAGGGAGCGCAGACGGCUGUGCAAGUCUGGAGUGAAAGGCGGGGGCCCAACCCCCGGACUGCUCUGGAAACUGUAAAGCUUGAGUGCAGGAGAGGUAAGCGGAAUUCCUGGUGUAGCGGUGAAAUGUGUAGAUAUUAGGAGGAACACCAGUGGCGAAGGCGGCUUACUGGACUGCAACUGACGUUGAGGCUCGAAAGCGUGGGGAGCAAACAGGAUUAGAUACCCGAGUAGUC